rnacentral:rRNA from 1 species
AUGCAAAGCGUCUCACGAUCGAUUAUUGGUCUCUGCGCAUGGCCUCCGGCGCUUGGGCGCUGGCGCUCUUGCGUCGGCAGAGUAGUCUCCGCUCCGCCUCGCUGGUGGCCAAUAGCGCGCGAGGGACGAGAUGCUUCACUCCUUCUGUCAUCAUCAGCCCAUUCGAAUCGGCAUCUGGAUCUUCUUUCCAGCUGCAACAAGGAGAAGCAGAAUAAGCCACACUCGUACAAACCCGAAGGUUGUGCCACUAUCAAAUGCCUAGACACUGCAAAUACGAGGGAGAAAGUAACCAGUGUGAAGAAGUUAACCAAUGAGGUCACAGAUAGCAAUCCCACGAAGGUUGCUGAUAUAUUCAUCCCGUGUAUCUACUCAAAUAGCAGCCACCGUGAUGGAGCCAUAUACAAGAACAAGCUUUUCAUGGAAAACUGGUUUGAUAUCGACAUUACUGACCACAACGAGACUCGGUUGGAGCCGAUGAUGUUCUCGAAGGCAAUCAAAAAACUUUAUUUUCCAUGCAACAUGUUGCAAUUUUUCUCAUUGACGUUGGCCGAGUGUUCCAUCAACCAUGACCCCAUAGAAUUGUAUGGGUAUAUAGCUGUGCGGGAUGAUAGGGAUGGCAUGCGUAACUAUGUUCUUAAUUAUAGCAGGGAUCAUCCCAUCAUCACACAAAAGGGUUCUUCCAUUCAAAUGACUGGACCUAAGAGAGCCAUCGAAUUGGUUUCCCCUGUUUUAAUAGAGUUUGAUAUGAGGAUCAAGAAUGGAGGGCAAGAAGAGGAGGAUCUGCAGUUGAUAGAUGGAGCAAUAUCAUGCCAUGACCGCAGAUCAUGGAAACCAGUCAAACAUCGCAUUAAGGGCAAUUGUGGUGCUGUUGACAUGUCUUUCGCAUGUGUUGAGCAAGCAGUGGAAGCGACAAUAGAAGUAGUCAUAUCAGAGGUGCAUAGUAGUUUCAGUUUAUCUCUGCGGUCCUUUGUUAUGUUUUGGAAGACUACGAAGAAACUCAGCUUUUCCAUGGCUCUAUUGAUCAAUCGUGUGGCUUGA